rnacentral:tRNA from 4 species
AUCUUUCUCGUAUGAAAUUAGUACAAGUGACUUCCAAUCACUUAGUCUUGGUUAAAGCCCAAGGAAAGAUA